rnacentral:rRNA from 1 species
UACGUAGGGUGCGAGCGUUGUCCGGAUUUACUGGGCGUAAAGAGCGCGCAGGCGGUCGUGCAAGUCGCGUGUGAAAAGCCCCCCGGCUCAACUGGGGAGGGGUCACGCGAUACUGCUCGACUUGAAGGCAGGAGAGGGAAGUGGAAUUCCCGGUGUAGUGGUGAAAUGCGUAGAUAUCGGGAGGAACACCAGUGGCGAAGGCGACUUCC